GAACAAUUUGCUGCUUUAAAGUCUUCAGGCUUCUUGCGAUACCCUUUGUUUCCAAAGCUCUGAAGCAGGCUUCUUUUGGGAAAGAUAAUAGGACCCACUCCUGCUUGGCAGAAGAGGUUCAUAUGCUGGCUUACUUAAAAUGUUUAGGAAGAAGCAUCAUCCAUCUGGGAAUUAUUUUGGAAGUUAUGACUGACUCUCCCAAUGAUAUUCUCAUUUGCUCCUCCCUAUAGCUCAGCCAGCUUUUUCACUCCUAAGUUUUGCAUAAGAAAACUGAGGCACUAAGACUAUGAGGGAGUAGACCCUGAUUCUGCAUCUGAUAAGGAGGAAACCUGGAUUUGAAAUUCUGACUUCUGCAACCAAGUCUGGGGCUUGUUCCUGAGGAUUGGCUCACCUGGUGUCACCAAGCCUGAGUUGCCAUCAGAAUUAAGCUUUCUUUGGGGAUAAGAUGUGUCCUCUCCUACUGACUCUCUAUGAAAAUGCAAAGUACCUGCCAAAGAUAACUUUGAUUGAACCUUUAUAUGUUGGUGUACACGAGUUGAUCAUGGAAUAAUAUGGAAAGGAUGCACCUUCCUCAAAGGCAUAUCUAUCCCAACUGCUUCCUUUCGUACCUGGAGAAACAGGCCCAGAAAAUGAGACCCAUGUUCCCAAGACCAUGCAGUAAGGCCUGGAGAAAGAAGUUCACAGUUGGAGUCAGCCGACUUCGAGACCACUGAGCAAGAGCACAGAAGGAAUCAUCAUCAGGCCACAGGCGGCUGUCACAUCAGGAGACCACCAACACCAGAGGGAUCUGGCAGAAUACAGGCAGGACCAAGGACUCCAACACGCUUACCCUGGCCUCCAAGGCUUUGUCACAGACCCAGCCCAACUCCCUAAUGGGUUUAAUUUCUCACCACUCUCUUCUGUCCUCAUUGCACUGCAGCCUUGCUGGUCUUCUAGUGACACCCACAUGCCCCAUCUUGGUGCCCCUAAUUACCUCCACCUGGAACACACUGUCCUCACCCAGAUAGGCACAGGAACAACUUCUCCACUGUACAUGUCUCUGUUCAAAUGCCACGCCCUCUGAAAGGCCCUAUCUGACACCCCUGCUGAUCUAAAUUAGCACCUCUGAUGCUUUUCCUUUGCUUAUUUGUCUUGAUAAUACUCACUACUGCAUAUUGCAGUGCACUUUCGUUUACUCUUUUUCUUACUUGUCUCCCUGUGGAAGACAAUCUCUAUGAAGUCAUUGUCUACCUUUUUCACCACUACAUCCCUACUUAGAAUACUACCUGGCAUGUAAACAGUGCUUAUUAAAUACUUGUGAAAUGAAGGGAUGAUUGGCGUCAAGUGGCAGAAACUGGUAUACAAUGCAGGGGCUUGAUCACAAGGGACAUUAAAAAACAAACAAACAAACAAAAACAAAAAAAAAACAGUUACUCUGGAACUAGGGUAAAAACGGAAACUAGAAUUAAGCCAAAGUAAUAGAAAGUCACCUUAUUGGCUGGCCUGAAGCUCCUUCCAUGGAUUUUGGUAGGAUCAAGCUGAGAGUGGGCCCUGUUUCCUUGGGAUUGGAGAUGGGUAGGUCUAAAGUGGGUGACUAGGAUUCUCCUUUGCUAUAUUUCUUGAAUCCAGUUCAUUUUCAUCUGAAAUAUUUGGGGAGUGGAGUGAGGACCUGCUGAGCCCAAAAUUGUGGUGUGAACCUCUAGUGCCAUAUCCAUCUAUUCCGAAACAGCCCUUACUUCUGGUUUUAGGGUCUGAUGGUAGGACCAGAGAUGGCCAUGAUCAUAAACAUUAGAGGAACUUGGAGCUAGCGCAACUGGCAGCAUCCCUCACCGUGUCAUUUUGCCCAGCCUGUGGUUUGCUAAGAGCCUGUCGGCCAGUUUGCCAUUCCUGUGGCAGGGCCAAUUAUCUCCAUAUCACAGCAACAAGCAUCCGGACCACAUACCUUGACAAGCGCCAUGGCUCAUUAGGACGAUUAUACACUUGGAGGCUGCCCCCAUCAGCGGCUCAAGUCUUUGAAAUGGACUGGAGCCAUCCUUAGCUUUCCAAGGUCCCCAUCCCAUGACUUCUGCCACUCCCAUCCCGCACAAACAAGGAACGAGGGUGUGAAAAUCUAUUUCAGUUGUAAAAUUGCCAGCAUGUAAUACUAAAAGAGCUCUGGAUUUGGUGAGCUGAGAAUAGAGAUCAGCUCUUCGCUUUGUUUCUGAUUUACUGCAGGACCUAAGGUGAAUUGUUGAAGAUCUCUGAGCUCAGUUCCUCCUCUGUAAAAUGAGGUCAAGGGUGCCUGCCUUACCUUCCAGAGUUGUUAGGAAGAUUAUUUAGGAAACCAUGUGUUCCUCUUGAGCAAUGGUUAUCAUUUGUGACCACUUGUGGGGAGGGAAGGGCAAGAGAGGUAAAUGGGCUACUAUUUGCCUUUUUGUUAGGAAUCCAGACUCAUGUUAUUACAUAACACUUUCAUCAUAAGAAUAAUGCCUGCUCGUUAUAGAGACUUGCAGAUUUAAAUCUCUGGGUAAAGCAAUUUAUACCAACUUUUAAAAAUAACAUUGGCCACAGAUCCAACUUUUCUCUUCAAGCCAUUUCUUUCCACUGCACCCCACCACAAGCCUUCAUUCUGGUGUUAAAUAGUCGAUAGGAUAAGAUUAUCAUACUACGAGGUGCAUAUUAAACAUGAUAUCUCUCCCAGUUAACAUAUGUGUGUUUUAAUACUUUUUUUUUGAAACAUUACCGAAGGAAUGGCACUAACACAGACUUUCAGGCACAAUGAUCUUAUAAUUAGGAAUUUAGGAAGGGUCAUCAUCUACAUUAUAUCCUUAUUCCUUGAAGUAAAUGCAGUUUCACAGAGGAUCAGCCCACAGAACUUUUCUUCCAUCUUUCUGCCACCACUAGCCUCAGAGUCUUCCGGUUUCUUUUUCUUUGUGUACCCACCACAACCAGGGGCCUGAUUGCAAAGGAAAAACAACAACAACAACAAAAAAGUUACUGGAAUAAGGCUAAAAGUGGAAACUGAGAUUAAGCCAAAGUAAUGGAAAGUCACUUUGUGGCUGGCCUGAAGCUCCUUCCAUGGAUUUCUCUAGGAUAUCAGGGUAGGGUCAAGCCUGCAGUGGGCCCAGAGAAUGCAAUGGAAAGCCAAACUCAGAGGACAGAAGACAGGCUGGGUUGCUUAUUAGCAGGUGAAGAAGAUUAUUAAAAUUGCAUGUUAAUUAUUUCCUCAAGUUUUCUUCAUCUGCUGAUUUCUAUUGUCUCCUGGCCUCUUGUUCAGAAAUGUAAUCUCAGACCCCACCAAUUCCGGAAGUAUACAUGGUGGGAUAGUUGCUGGCCUAGGAGGCGGAUAGCCUGGCUUUGAAGCCUGGCUCUGCCACUUUCUUGACCUUGUCAAAGUUAUUGACCCUCCAUCAUACCCUACCCCACACUUCCCAAGCUUUAGUUGCCUCACUGCACAAUGAGUAGGGUUGGGGAGGCAAUGUCUAAACCUUUUCCAGUACCAUGAUUCAAUACAUUCUCAAUUGAUUUCAUUUCAAUUAAUCUCGAUUCAAUCCAAUUUGCUAUAUUUCAAUUCAAUUAUUUCCAUUUAGUUUAGUAAUUCCAUUUCAUUCAGUUGAAGUCAAUUCAAAUAAACUAAAUUCCACUGACUCCA
rnacentral:lncRNA from 1 species